rnacentral:rRNA from 1 species
UACGUAGGUGGCAAGCGUUGUCCGGAAUUAUUGGGCGUAAAGCGCGCGCAGGCGGUCCUUUAAGUCUGAUGUGAAAGCCCACGGCUCAACCGUGGAAGGUCAUUGGAAACUGGGGGACUUGAGUGCAGGAGAGAAGAGUGGAAUUCCACGUGUAGCGGUGAAAUGCGUAGAGAUGGGGAGGAACACCAGUGGCGAAGGCGACUCUUUGGACAGUAACUGACGCUGAGGCGCGAAAGCGUGGGGAGCAAACAGG